CAAUUAAGAGAAGAAGAGAUUGUUUCAUAUAUGCUAGCUGGUCUAGAUUUAGAUUAUGAUGCUUUGGUUACAUCGAUCAAUACAAGAUCUAAUCACAUAUCAUUGACUAAUUUUUAUGUACACAUGUUGAGCUUUAAAC